CAUUCACGCCUGAGGGCACCCGGAUCCUAUCGCUUCAUCACAAAUUGUAAUCCGACAUUAGUUAUCUAAACCUUUCCAUCUGAUUUUCAAUACAUACUUUAUCGUUAUAUCCAGUUAUCAAGAUGAAAAUUAUUGGUUUGUUUCUUAAAAUCCUCCAAGUGUUAAAAAACUCCGGAAUUCUUCUUCGUAAAUGUUGUAUUUGCGUGGUAUAUCACAAAGUGUUUAAAGCGGCGAUGAUCCGACCGUUUAACGCGAGACCUUUUCUUAAAGAACGAGGACUAUAGAUGGCUUUUGUGAUAGCUAUUCAAACUUGUGUGAAUUAAAUAGAAUAUUUUGUGAGAAUAUUUUAAUCAGCUUGACUCUGGUGGAAAAGUUAAACUCAGGCCUUCUGUAUAAUUC
rnacentral:lncRNA from 1 species